UACAGAGGCCUCGAGCGUUAGGCGGAAUCACUGGGCUUAAAGCGUGUGUAGGCGGACUUCUAAGUACCUUGUGAAAUCCCACGGCUCACCCGUGGAACUGCUUGGUAUACUGGUUGUCUUGAGCCUUCUAGGGGCGAGUGGAACAAAUGGUGGAGCGGUGAAAUGCGUAGAUAUCAUUUGGAACGCCAAUGGUGAAAACAACUCGCUGGGGGAAGUGCUGACGCUGAGAACACGAAAAGCCCAGGGGGAGCGAACGGGG
rnacentral:rRNA from 1 species